rfam:Ricinus communis cultivar Hale ctg_1100012358857, whole genome shotgun sequence.
AACUUGUGAUGCUGACAUUAAAUUAGAUAAGUCUUGAAUUCUUUCCAGGCAUCAUAGGAAAAUUCUCCCUCCUUUUGAAUGAAAUUGCAUAUCCUAAACCUAUAAUU